rnacentral:rRNA from 1 species
AUUGAACGCUGGCGGCAUGCCUUACAUAUGCAAGUCGAACGGUAACAGGUCUUCGGAUGCUGACGAGUGGCGAACGGGUGAGUAAUACAUCGGAACGUGCCUAGUCGUGGGGGAUAACUACUCGAAAGAGUGGCUAAUACCGCAUGAGAUCUACGGAUGAAAGCAGGGGAUCGCAAGACCUUGUGCUACUAGAGCGGCCGAUGGCAGAUUAGGUAGUUGGUGGGAUAAAAGCUUAACAGGCCGACGAUCUGUAGCUGGUAUGAGAGGACGAUCAGCCACACUGGGACUGAGACACGGCCCAGACUCCUACGGGAGGCAGCAGUGGGGAAUUUUGGACAAUGGGCGCAAGCCUGAUCCAGCAAUGCCGCGUGCAGGAUGAAGGCCUUCGGGUUGUAAACUGCUUUUGUACGGAACGAAAAGCCCUGGGUUAAUACCCUGGGGUCAUGACGGUACCGUAAGAAUCAGCACCGGCUAACUACGUGCCAGCCGCCGCGGUAACAC